AGUGAACGCUGGCGGUAGGCCUAACACAUGCAAGUCGAACGGCAGCACAGUAAAAGCUUGCUCUUACGGGUGGCGAGUGGCGGACGGGGGAGGAAUACAUCGGAAUCUACUUUUUCGUGGGGGGUAACGUAGGGAAACUUACGCUAAUACCGCAUACGACCUACGGGUGAAAGCAGGGGAUCUUCGGACCUUGCGCGAUUGAAUGAGCCGAUGUCGGAUUAGCUAGUUGGCGGGGUAAAGGCCCACCAAGGCGACGAUCCGUAGCUGGUCUGAGAGGAUGAUCAGCCACACUGGAACUGAGACACGGUCCAGACUCCUACGGGAGGCAGCAGUGGGGAAUAUUGGACAAUGGGCGCAAGCCUGAUCCAGCCAUACCGCGUGGGUGAAGAAGGCCUUCGGGUUGUAAAGCCCUUUUGUUGGGAAAGAAAAGCAGCAGGUUAAUACCCCGCUGUUCUGACGGUACCCAAAGAAUAAGCACCGGCUAACUUCGUG
rnacentral:rRNA from 1 species